CCUAAUUGUAACUUAUUGCUAAAAGGUGCAUGCAGGUAUAAACGAUAGAUAUUGUGAAAUAAACAGAGUACAAAGUUUCGCUGAGAUCAAGCAACUAUACGAUACUAUUACAUAUCUACUUAUACCUAAGACAAGCACAUCAAAGCUAAAACUAUUUUUAAACCGAACAGUGCCGAUCGAAAGAAUUUGCAUAGUAAAUCCACAUUUAAUUGCAAAGGUUCACCAAAAAUUCUUAAAGCCUACCAAUCACAAAUAAGGUUUGCUUGUGAGAUUUUGGGGAAAUCAUCCGUACA